CCCUUAGAUGUUCUCGGCCGCACACGCGCUACACUGAAAGAGGCAACGUGUUUGCCUGAUUCGAAAUAAUUGGGUAACCCCCUAAUCUCUUUCGUGCUGGGGAUUGAGGUUUGCAAUUAUCCUUCAUGAACGAGGAAUUCCCAGUAAGUGCGAGUCAUUAUCUCGCGCUGACUACGUCCCUGCCCUUUGUACACACCGCCCGUCGCUACUACCGAUUGAAUGAUUUAGUGAGGACUUCGGACUGAGUCCAAUGCGGCUUUCGGGCUGCGUUGGUAUUUCGGAAAGAUGUCCAAACUGUAUCAUUUAGAGGAAGUAAAAGUCGUAACA
rnacentral:rRNA from 1 species